CGUUUNNNNNNUUUUUUAGCACUUUGUCAAAAGCAGGCUCCGAAUUCGCCCUUAGAGUUUGAUCAUGGCUCAGAUUGAACGCUGGCGGCAGGCCUAACACAUGCAAGUCGAACGGCAGCGGGGGAUAGCUUGCUAUCCUGCCGGCGAGUGGCGGACGGGUGAGUAAGGCAUGGGGAGCUGCCCAAUCGAGGGGGAUAACAACUGGAAACGGUUGCUAAUACCGCAUACGCCCUGCGGGGGAAAGGUGGGGACCAUUUGGCCUACCGCGAUUGGAUGCACCCAUGUGGGAUUAGCUGGUUGGUGAGGUAACGGCUCACCAAGGCGACGAUCUCUAGCUGGUCUGAGAGGAUGACCAGCCACACUGGAACUGAGACACGGUCCAGACUCCUACGGGAGGCAGCAGUGGGGAAUAUUGCACAAUGGGGGAAACCCUGAUGCAGCCAUGCCGCGUGUGUGAAGAAGGCCUUCGGGUUGUAAAGCACUUUCAGUCAGGAGGAAAGGGAGCAGACUAAUAUUCUGUUUCAUUGACGUUACUGACAGAAGAAGCGCCGGCUAACUCCAUGCCAGCAGCCGCGUAUAUACGGAGGGNGGAAACGUUUAAUCCGGAUAAACUGGCGUGAGACUCGCGGUCCGGGUUGAUGAAUAGAAUCAGUGAAGCCACGUGUAAACCGGCGAACUGCAAUUCGAUGGGAUGAGGAGAAGCGGAUAGGGAGGCGAAGAAGUCGAGGGGUGUAGCGUAGUGUUCAUAGUAGCUGAGGGAAUGGUCGUAGGACGAGCGCAAGUAAGCGAGGAGGGGGCGGAAAGGGCGGCGUGGCAGUUAGAAGAGACGGAACGGGGCAAGAUAGGGACAGGGAAGAACAGAGCAAUCGCAGGUAGAGAG
rnacentral:rRNA from 1 species